rnacentral:rRNA from 1 species
AAUUAAUUUUAACGGCCGCGGUAUCCUGACCGUGCAAAGGUAGCAUAAUCACUUGUCUCCUAAAUAGAGACUUGUAUGAAUGGCAAAACGAGGGUUUAACUGUCUCUUUUUCUCAAUCAAUGAAAUUGACCUACCCGUGCAGAGGCGGGUAUAACUUUAUAAGACGAGAAGACCCUGUGGAGCUUAAAAUUACAACUUAAAUUAAUUUAUACUAUACCCUAAGGGAUUAAUCUUACAAAACUUUUUAAGCUGAAUUUUUGGUUGGGGUGACCUCGGAGCACAAGCAACCCUCCGAAUGACAUAACUAAGACUAACACAUCUAAGUGCAACCUAAGCCAGUAAUUGACCCAAAACUUGAUCAACGGAACAAGUUACCCCAGGGAUAACAGCGCAAUCCUAUUU